rnacentral:lncRNA from 1 species
UUGUGUUUGAAGAGCUGACCCAAUAUCUACAUGAGUCGACUCCCAACAUUGACGAGUCGACCCUUGAGGCAAGCAUAGAAACUUUGUAUGGAUUAAAGGAAAGAGCCGACUCUUAUGCUUACAGUCUAUAAAUUUAAAGGAACGCCAAGGAAAAAAUAUGAUGAGGGAGAUGAUCAAGUGAGAAAAUCAUAUCACCCAAAAUCCAAGCUUCAAAAGAUAAAAUUCUCACAAAAGAGCCUUGCAGGAAAAACCAUAUUGUGAGAAAAUCAAUUGAAAUAUUCAACAGAGAAAUUGCUG